rnacentral:rRNA from 1 species
CAACGCGAAGAACCUUACCAGGCCUUGACAUGCAGAGAACUUUCCAGAGAUGGAUUGGUGCCUUCGGGAACUCUGACACAGGUGCUGCAUGGCUGCCGUCAGCUCGUGUCGUGAGAUGUUGGGUUAAGUCCCGUAACGAGCGCAACCCUUGUCCUUAGUUACCAGCACGUUAUGGUGGGCACUCUAAGGAGACUGCCGGUGACAAACCGGAGGAAGGUGGGGAUGACGUCAAGUCAUCAUGGCCCUUACGGCCUGGGCUACACACGUGCUACAAUGGUCGGUACAAAGGGUUGCCAAGCCGCGAGGUGGAGCUAAUCCCAUAAAACCGAUCGUAGUCCGGAUCGCAGUCUGCAACUCGACUGCGUGAAGUCGGAAUCGCUAGUAAUCGUGAAUCAGAAUGUCACGGUGAAUACGUUCCCGGGCCUU